rnacentral:lncRNA from 1 species
CCCAAAUACCCCACUUUCAGCCAGGGCUCCUGUAGCCUUCUGACACAACCAUAGAAGUCUUUGACGUAUUAUGAAAGACUAUGUAAUAUUCCAGGGGUCAGAGGAAGAUAUUAAAUGACAUCAUGGGGAAGCAAAAUCAGCAAAAUUUAGAAAGUGAGAAACUCUACAGCACGCAUCAUUCAGUUUCUUCAACAAUAGAUUGCAAGGGGGUAGAGAAGGAGGGCGUGAAACUCCUCUAGGGUCAGAAGAGACCAAGAAACUUCAGACAAAAGCAACAUCCGGACUUUGUUUGGAUACUGGACUGACUGCUCUCUGAGCUCACCACACACCUGGGAUUUUUCUUCACCAACAACUUGGAAAUUUUCUUGAACUCCUUGCUGUGUGGGAUUUCCUGUUUCUUGGAUCUCAUGUACUCAUCUUUCUUGAUUUGCCAUGUGUGCGUUGUGGUGGGGAGGGGUGUACAUCUGCCCGUAACUUGCUGAGAAAAAGCAUGGGACAAAUAAAAUUUUUGCUGUGCAAGA